GCACAUAUCCUUCCUGCCAUCACGUGAAGAAGGACACGUUUCGUUCCCCUCCUUCCAUGAUUGUGAGGUGUCAGAUCCCCGGCGAUGGAAAGCAGUCAACUCAUGGGUAGUAAAAAGAAUGUAUUGACAACACUAUAGGUUUGAAAAGGAAAGUUUUAUUAGAUGGAAAGAACAGUGCAGAAGACCGCAGCAGAGGACCUCAGCAAGAGAGAACUAAUUUGUCAGUUUCAAAUACUCAUGUAUCUGAUUGUCAAUGCUGGAGAGCUGGGGCCAGGGCAGUAGUUGAUGAAUAUCACCUGACUGUCUCCUGCAGAAAAAGCAUUCCCAGAAGCACGGAGAAGUGAGGAGAAAAGGCAAUGCACCUGGAGCUGGAGACCAAGGCCCUGUUCUUACUGAUGGCCCUUGGAGCAGAUAUUUGAAUUGGAGAGAUAAAACCGUGGUUUUUGGGGUGUUAAUUUUGGUGGCUGAUGCAUUCUGUGAUUGAUUUGGCUAUUACAACUGGUAUUGAUUUUAAACACAUUAAUUGCAAAAUCUCAAUUGUGAUUUGAUUUCUGUAUUUACAAUACUAAAAACGAGGCUUUCGCCAGGAGAAGACAAUUGGCAGUACUCAGUUGGAAGUGCUUAAUUGUUAAUAUAUAUCAGCCGUGGUUCUUCAGCGUCGUCAGUGUUGCUCAGUCUUGCUCUUUGUGGCGACUACUGAAUGCUUGAAAAAUUCUCUCCUAUACUCCCACUCUGCACUGUAGAAGAGAAAGAGAGGAGAGUGGAAGAAAAAAGAGAGGGAGAGGAGAAAGAAAGAGAGGAGAGAGAAACAUGGGCAUGGAUGAUACAUAAGGUAGUUGUAAACUGU
rnacentral:lncRNA from 1 species